rnacentral:tRNA from 1 species
UCCAGGGCAACCUAGUGGACAUGGCAUCUGUCCGGUAAGCGGAACACUGUGGGUUCGAUUCCCAUCCCUGGAC